UGGGGAAUCUUGCGCAAUGGGCGAAAGCCUGACGCAGCCAUGCCGCGUGAAUGAUGAAGGUCUUAGGAUUGUAAAAUUCUUUCACCGGGGACGAUAAUGACGGUACCCGGAGAAGAAGCCCCGGCUAACUUCGUGCCAGCAGCCGCGGUAAUACGAAGGGGGCUAGCGUUGCUCGGAAUUACUGGGCGUAAAGGGCGCGUAGGCGGAUCGUUAAGUCAGAGGUGAAAUCCCAGGGCUCAACCCUGGAACUGCCUUUGAUACUGGCGAUCUUGAGUAUGAGAGAGGUAUGUGGAACUCAGAGUGUAGAGGUGAAAUUCGUAGAUAUUCGGAAGAACACCAGUGGCGAAGGCGACAUACUGGCUCAUUACUGACGCUGAGGCGCGAAAGCGUGGGGAGCAAACAGG
rnacentral:rRNA from 1 species